rnacentral:rRNA from 1 species
GGGCCCUUUACCAUUGCAAGUCGAACGGCAGCACGGGUGCUUGCACCUGGUGGCGAGUGGCGAACGGGUGAGUAAUACAUCGGAACAUGUCCUGUAGUGGGGGAUAGCCCGGCGAAAGCCGGAUUAAUACCGCAUACGAUCUACGGAUGAAAGCGGGGGACCUUCGGGCCUCGCGCUAUAGGGUUGGCCGAUGGCUGAUUAGCUAGUUGGUGGGGUAAAGGCCUACCAAGGCGACGAUCAGUAGCUGGUCUGAGAGGACGACCAGCCACACUGGGACUGAGACACGGCCCAGACUCCUACGGGAGGCAGCAGUGGGGAAUUUUGGACAAUGGGCGAAAGCCUGAUCCAGCAAUGCCGCGUGUGUGAAGAAGGCCUUCGGGUUGUAAAGCACUUUUGUCCGGAAAGAAAUCCUUGGCUCUAAUACAGUCGGGGGAUGACGGUACCGGAAGAAUAAGCACCGGCUAACUACGUGCCAGCAGCCGCGGUAAUACGUAGGGUGCAAGCGUUAAUCGGAAUUACUGGGCGUAAAGCGUGCGCAGGCGGUUUGCUAAGACCGAUGUGAAAUCCCCGGGCUCAACCUGGGAACUGCAUUGGUGACUGGCAGGCUAGAGUAUGGCAGAGGGGGGUAGAAUUCCACGUGUAGCAGUGAAAUGCGUAGAGAUGUGGACGAAUACCGAUGGCGAAGGCAGCCCCCUGGGGCCAAUACUGACGCUCAUGCACGAAAGCGUGUGGAGCAAACAGGAUUAGAUACCCCUGGGUAUCCACGCCCUAACGAUUGUCAACUAGUUGUGGGGGAUUCAUUUCCUUUUAACGUACUAACCGCAAAGUUGACCCCCUGGGGAGUACGGUCGUAGAUUCAAAUCCAAGGAAUGUACGGGGACCCCUCCGGUCAGGGGGAAGCAUGGGCAUCAAUUC